AGGGUUCGAUUCUGGCUCAGGAUAAACGCUGGCGGUGUGCUUUAUGCAUGCAAGUCGAACGGGUUCCGCAAGGAACCAGUGGCAGACGGGUGAGCAACACGUAAGCGACCUGCCCUAAAGUGGGGAACAACUCCUAGAAAUGGGAGCUAAUACCGCAUGUGAUCCUAGUUUUGAACUAUUAGGAUUAAAGCCGUAAGGCGCUUUUGGAGGGGCUUGCGUACGAUUAGAUAGUUGGUGGGGUAACGGCCUACCAAGUCGACGAUCGUUAGCUGGUUUGAGAGGACGACCAGCCACGACGGGGACUGAGACACCGGCCCCGACUCCUACGGGAGGCAGCAGCAAAGGAAUUAGUUGGGCAAGUGGGGACGAAAGCCUCGACCCAGCGACACCGCAUGGGGGAAGAAGACCUUCGGGUUGUAAACUCCUUUUAUUGGGGAAGAAUAAUGACGGUACCCGAUGAAUAAGCCCCGGCUAACUACGUGCCAGCCGCCGC
rnacentral:rRNA from 1 species